UACAGAGACUGCAAGCGUUGUCCGGAAUCACUGGGCGUAAAGGGCGCGUAGGCGGCUCAUGAAGGCUGUGGUGAAAGUCCGGGGCUCAACCUCGGAUCGGCCGUGGCGACUCGUGGGCUGGAGCACUGUAGAGGCGGGUGGAAUUCCGGGUGUAGCGGUGGAAUGCGUAGAGAUCCGGAAGAACACCAGUGGCGAAGGCGGCCCGCUGGGCAGUGGCUGACGCUGAGGCGCGACAGCGUGGGGAGCAAACAGG
rnacentral:rRNA from 1 species